rnacentral:rRNA from 1 species
AGAGUUUGAUCCUGGCUCAGGAUGAACGCUGGCGGCGCGCCUAACACAUGCAAGUCGAACGGCACCCACCUUCGGGUGGAAGCGAGUGGCGAACGGCUGAGUAACACGUGGAGAACCUGCCCCCUCCCCCGGGAUAGCCGCCCGAAAGGACGGGUAAUACCGGAUACCCCGGGGUGCCGCAUGGCACCCCGGCUAAAGCCCCGACGGGAGGGGAUGGCUCCGCGGCCCAUCAGGUAGACGGCGGGGUGACGGCCCACCGUGCCGACAACGGGUAGCCGGGUUGAGAGACCGACCGGCCAGAUUGGGACUGAGACACGGCCCAGACUCCUACGGGAGGCAGCAGUGGGGAAUCUUGCGCAAUGGGGGGAACCCUGACGCAGCGACGCCGCGUGCGGGACGGAGGCCCUCGGGUCGUAAACCGCUUUCAGCAGGGAAGAGUCAAGACUGUACCUGCAGAAGAAGCCCCGGCUAACUACGUGCCAGCAGCCGCGGUAAUACGUAGGGGGCGAGCGUUAUCCGGAUUCAUUGGGCGUAAAGCGCGCGUAGGCGGCCCGGCAGGCCGGGGGUCGAAGCGGGGGGCUCAACCCCCCGAAGCCCCCGGAACCUCCGCGGCUUGGGUCCGGUAGGGGAGGGUGGAACACCCGGUGUAGCGGUGGAAUGCGCAGAUAUCGGGUGGAACACCGGUGGCGAAGGCGGCCCUCUGGGCCGAGACCGACGCUGAGGCGCGAAAGCUGGGGGAGCGAACAGGAUUAGAUACCCUGGUAGUCCCAGCCGUAAACGAUGGACGCUAGGUGUGGGGGGACGAUCCCCCCGUGCCGCAGCCAACGCAUUAAGCGUCCCGCCUGGGGAGUACGGCCGCAAGGCUAA